AUUGAACGCUGGCGGCAGGCCUAACACAUGCAAGUCGAGCGAGCGGCGGACGGGUGAGUCAUGUCUGGGAACCUGCCUGAUGGAGGGGGAUAACUACUGGAAACGGUAGCUAAUACCGCAUACCAUCAAAUGUGCCCAGAUGGGAUGAGAUAGUAGGUGGGGUAACGGCCGACCAAGGCGACGAGCCCUAGCUGGUCUGUGAGGAUGACCAGCCAAACUGGAACUGAGACACGGUCCAGACUCCUACGGGAGGCAGCAGUGGGGAAUAUUGGACAAUGGGCGCAAGCCUGAUGCAGCCAUGCCGCGUGUGUGAAGAAGGCCUUCGGUUUGUAAAGCACUUUCAGCGGGGAGGCGUUACCCGCAGAAGAAGCACCGGCUAACUCCGUGCCAGCCGCCGCGGUAAUAC
rnacentral:rRNA from 1 species